rnacentral:rRNA from 1 species
UACAGAGACUGCAAGCGUUAUUCGGAUUCACUGGGCGUAAAGGGUGCGCAGGCGGCCAAGUGUGUGAGGCGUGAAAGCCCGGGGCUUAACCCCGGAAUUGCACCUCAAACUACAUGGCUAGAGCAUUGGAGAGGGUAGCGGAAUUCACGGUGUAGCAGUGAAAUGCGUAGAUAUCGUCAGGAACACCAGAGGCGAAGGCGGCUACCUGGACAAUUGCUGACGCUCAGGCACGAAAGCGUGGGGAGCAAAAGGG